AAGACCUUGCACUUUUGGAGCGGCCGAUGUCUGAUUAGCUAGUUGGCGGGGUAAUGGCCUACCAAAGCUUCGAUCAGUAGCUGGUCUGAGAGGACGGCCAGCCACACUGGGACUGAGACACGGCCCAGACUCCUACGGGAGGCAGCAGUGGGGAAUUUUGGACAAUGGGCGCAAGCCUGAUCCAGCCACGCCGCGUGAGUGAAGAAGGCCUUCGGGUUGUAAAGCUCUUUCAGCCGGGAAGAAAAGGUUGCGACUAAUAAUCGCAAUUCAUGACGGUACCGAAAGAAGAAGCACCGGCUAACUACGUGCCAGCAGCCGCGGUAAUACGUAGGGUGCGAGCGUUAAUCGGAAUUACUGGGCGUAAAGGGUGCGCAGGCGGUUUUGUAAGUCAGAUGUGAAAUCCCCGGGCUUAACCUGGGAACU
rnacentral:rRNA from 1 species